CCCUCCAUCUUUUCCUGUCUCUCUCCCUUCCUUAUUUUCUUUCUUUUAAGAAAAGUUGCAUUUAUUUAUUUUAUGUGCACGUGUGAAUGCCUGCAUGUAUGUAUGCACCUCAUGCCUGCCUGCUGCCCACAGAAGCCAGAAGUCAUCGGUUUCCCUGGAGCUGUAGUUGCAGACCCAUAACUGGUGUUACACCCCCACUCCCUGCCACCACAAAUACGGAGUCCAUUCCAGGAAUAGAAACCGCCGAAGGAUUACAUUCUCCACGGAGAACGAUCUCUAUGUAGGUAGCUAACCGAGCCAGCUUUUCCCCUUUUAUAAGCAACAGUUCCUGUGUCUUGCUGC
rnacentral:lncRNA from 1 species